rnacentral:rRNA from 1 species
AACCAACAGGGAUUGCCUUAGUAACGGCGAGUGAAGCGGCAAAAGCUCAAAUUUGAAAUCUGGCACCUUCGGUGUCCGAGUUGUAAUUUGAAGAAGGUAACUUUGGAGUUGGCUCUUGUCUAUGUUCCUUGGAACAGGACGUCACAGAGGGUGAGAAUCCCGUGCGAUGAGAUGCCCAAUUCUAUGUAAAGUGCUUUCGAAGAGUCGAGUUGUUUGGGAAUGCAGCUCUAAGUGGGUGGUAAAUUCCAUCUAAAGCUAAAUAUUGGCGAGAGACCGAUAGCGAACAAGUACAGUGAUGGAAAGAUGAAAAGAACUUUGAAAAGAGAGUGAAAAAGUACGUGAAAUUGUUGAAAGGGAAGGGCUUGAGAUCAGACUUGGUAUUUUGCGAUCCUUUCCUUCUUGGUUGGGUUCUCCGCAGCUUACUGGGCCAGCAUCGGUUUGGAUGGUAGGAUAAUGAUUAAGGAAUGUAUCUCUACUUCGGUGGAGUGUUAUAGCCUUGGUUGAUACUGCCUGUCUAGACCGAGGACUGCGUCUUUGACUAGGAUGCUGGCAUAAUGAUCUUAAGCC